CCUACGGGUGGCAGCAGUGGGGAAUAUUGCACAAUGGGGGAAACCCUGAUGCAGCGACGCCGCGUGAGUGAAGAAGUAUUUCGGUACGUAAAGCUCUAUCAGCAGGGAAGAAAAUGACGGUACCUGACUAAGAAGCCCCGGCUAACUACGUGCCAGCAGCCGCGGUAAUACGUAGGGGGCAAGCGUUAUCCGGAUUUACUGGGUGUAAAGGGAGCGUAGACGGCAGCGCAAGUCAGAAGUGAAAGCCCGGGGCUCAACUCCGGGACUGCUUUUGAAACUGUGUUUCUUGAGUACUGGAGAUGCAGACGGAAUUCCUAGUGUAGCGGUGAAAUGCGUAGAUAUUAGGAGGAACACCAGUGGCGAAGGCGGUCUGCUGGACAGCAACUGAGGCUGAGGCGCGAAAGCGUGGGGAGCAAACAGGAUUAGAUACCCGUGUAGUC
rnacentral:rRNA from 1 species